AGGCCGAAAGGGGCUUGCCCGCCGAGGAUGGCCGCGGCCGAUAGUAGUGUGGGGUACGCCCACAGCCGAGAUCGUACGGGCCAUGAGAGUGGGAGCGGAGAUGACAUGAGACACGGGUCAGCCUACGGGGCGCAGCAGCGCGAAACUCGCAUGCGGGCAACCGCGACGGGGGGACCCCCAGUGCGUGGCAUCGCCACGGCUUUUCCGGAGUGUAAAAAGCUCCGGGAAUAAGGGCUGGGCAAGGCCGGUGGCAGCCGCCGCGGUAAUACCGGCGGCCCGAGUGGUGGCCGCUAUUAUUGGGCUAAAGCGUCCGUAGCCGGGCCCGUAAGUCCCUGGCGAAAUCCCACGGCUCAACCGUGGGGCUUGCUGGGGAUACUGCGGGCCUUGGGACCGGGAGAGGCCGGGGGUACCCCUGGGGUAGGGGUGAAAUCCUAUAAUCCCAGGGGGACCGCCAGUGGCGAAGGCGCCCGGCUGGAACGGGUCCGACGGUGAGGGACGAAGGCCAGGGGAGCGAACCGGAUUAGAUACCCGGGUAGUCCUGGCUGUAAAGGAUGCGGGCUAGGUGUCGGGCGAGCUUCGAGCUCGCCCGGUGCCGAAGGGAAGCCGUUAAGCCCGCCGCCUGGGGAGUACGGCCGCAAGGCUGAAACUUAAAGGAAUUGGCGGGGGAGCACUACAAGGGGUGGAGCGUGCGGUUUAAUUGGAUUCAACGCCGGGAACCUCACCGGGGGCGACGGCAGGAUGAAGGCCAGGCUGAAGGUCUUGCCGGACACGCCGAGAGGAGGUGCAUGGCCGCCGUCAGCUCGUACCGUGAGGCGUCCACUUAAGUGUGGUAACGAGCGAGACCCGCGCCCCCAGUUGCCAGUCCUCCCCGCUGGGGAGGAGGCACUCUGGGGGGACCGCCGGCGAUAAGCCGGAGGAAGGAGCGGGCGACGGUAGGUCAGUAUGCCCCGAAACCCCCGGGCUACACGCGCGCUACAAUGGGCGGGACAAUGGGAUCCGACCCCGAAAGGGGAAGGGAAUCCCCUAAACCCGCCCCCAGUUCGGAUCGCGGGCUGCAACUCGCCCGCGUGAAGCUGGAAUCCCUAGUACCCGCGUGUCAUCAUCGCGCGGCGAAUACGUCCCUGCUCCUUGCACACACCGCCCGUCACUCCACCCGAGCGGGGUCUGGAUGAGGCCUGAUCUCCCUUCGGGGAGGUCGGGUCGAGUCUG
rnacentral:rRNA from 1 species